rnacentral:rRNA from 1 species
UACGUAGGGUCCGAGCGUUGUCCGGAAUUAUUGGGCGUAAAGGGCUCGUAGGCGGUUUGUCGCGUCGGGAGUGAAAACACCGGGCUUAACUCGGUGCUUGCUUUCGAUACGGGCAGACUGGAGGUAUGCAGGGGAGAACGGAAUUCCUGGUGUAGCGGUGAAAUGCGCAGAUAUCAGGAGGAACACCGGUGGCGAAGGCGGUUCUCUGGGCCGAAACUGACGCUGAGGAGCGAAAGCGUGGGGAGCAAACAGG